CCUACGGGGGGCAGCAGUGAGGAAUAUUGGUCAAUGGGCUUACGCCUGAACCAGCCAAGUCGCGUGAGGGAAGACUGCCCUAUGGGUUGUAAACCUCUUUUGUCAGGGAGCAACGCCGGCUACGUGUAGCCGGACUGAGAGUACCUGAAGAAAAAGCAUCGGCUAACUCCGUGCAAGCAGCCGCGGGAAUACGUAGGGGGCAAGCGUUAUCCGGAUUUACUGGGUGUAAUGGGGGCGCAGACGGCAAUGCAUGCCAGGAGUGAAAGCCCGGGGCCCAACCCCGGGACUGCUAUUGAUACUGCAUGGCUGGAGUGCAGGAGGGGUAGGAGGAAUUCGUAGUGUAGCGGUGAAAUGCGUAGAUAUUAGGAGGAACACCGGUGGCGAAGGCGGCCUGCUGGACUGUGACUGACGUUGAGGCCCGAAGGCGUGGGGAGCAAACAGGAUUAGAUACCCGAGUAGUC
rnacentral:rRNA from 1 species